rnacentral:siRNA from 1 species
UGCAACACGAGGACUUCCCGGGA